rnacentral:rRNA from 1 species
GAUGAACGCUAGCGGGAGGCCUAACACAUGCAAGCCGAGCGGUAGAGAUCUUUCGGGAUCUUGAGAGCGGCGUACGGGUGCGGAACACGUGUGCAACCUGCCUUUAUCUGGGGGAUAGCCUUUCGAAAGGAAGAUUAAUACCCCAUAAUAUAUUUGUUGGCAUCAGCGAAUAUUGAAAACUCCGGUGGAUAGAGAUGGGCACGCGCAAGAUUAGAUAGUUGGUGAGGUAACGGCUCACCAAGUCUGCGAUCUUUAGGGGGCCUGAGAGGGUGAUCCCCCACACUGGUACUGGGACGCGGACCAGACUCCUACGGGAGGCAGCAUUGAGGAAUAUUGGACAAUGGGUGAGAGCCUGAUCCAGCCAUCCCGCGUGAAGGACGACGGCCCUAUGGGUUGUAAACUUCUUUUGUAUAGGGAUAAACCUACUCUCGUGAGAGUAGCUGAAGGUACUAUACGAAUAAGCACCGGCUAACUCCGUGCCAGCCGCCGCCGUA